rnacentral:rRNA from 1 species
CAGUAGCGUAUAUUAAAGUUGUUGCAGUUAAAAAGCUCGUAGUUGGAUUUCUGGCGUGAGAACGCUGGCCCGCCGGGGUUACCCGUGUGAGUGCCGGCCGUUCUCUGCCAUCCUUCUAGAAAACGCGUCUGCCUUUCAUUAGGUCGGGCGCGCAAUCUAGAUCAUUUACUUUGAGAAAAUUAAAGUGUUUAAAGCAGGCUUGCGCUAUGAAUACAUUAGCAUGGAAUAAUAAUAUAGGGCUUCGGUUCUAUUUUGUUGGUUUCUAGGACUGAAGUAAUGAUUGAUAGGGAUAGUUGGGGGUGCUAGUAUUCAGCGGCCAGAGGUGAAAUUCUUGGAUUCGCUGAAGACUAACUUAUGCGAAAGCAUUCACCAAGGAUGUCUUCUUUAAUCAAGAACGAAAGUUGGGGGAUCGAAGACGAUUAGAUACCGU